rnacentral:rRNA from 1 species
UACAGAGGGUGCGAGCGUUGUUCGGAAUUAUUGGGCGUAAAGGGCGCGUAGGCGGUGCGGUAAGUCACCUGGUGAAAAUCUCCUGGCUCAACCUGGGAGCUUGCAGGCGAAACUGCCGUGCUGGAGUGUGGGAGAGGUGCGUGGAAUUCCCGGUGUAGCGAUGAAAUGCGUAGAUAUCGGGAGGAACACCGUGUGGCGAAAGCGCGCACUGGACCACAACUGACGCUGAGGCGCGAAAGCUAGGGAGCAAACAGG